ensembl:lncRNA
GGAGGAGGAGGAGAAUGAGAGGUGGAGGAGAAGGAGGAGAAUGAGUGGUGGAGGAGGAGGAGAAUGAGAGGUGGAGUAGGAGGUGGAGGAGAAGGAGGAGAAUGAGAGGUGGAGGAGAAGGAGGAGAAUGAGAGGUGGAGGAGGAGGAGAAUGAGAAUGAGAGGUGGAGGAGAAGGAGGAGAAUGAGAGGUGGAGGAGGAGAAUGAGAGGUGGAGGAGAAGGAGGAGAUUGAGAGGUGGAGGAGAAGGAGGAGAAUGAGAGGUGGAGGAGAAGGAGGAGAAUGAGAGGUGGAGGAGAAGGAGG